UAACGAAUCUUCCGCAAUGCGCGAAAGCGUGACGGAGCAAUGCCGCGUGCAGGAUGAAGCCCUUCGGGGUGUAAACUGCUGUCAGGGUGUAGCAACACAAUGAGCAGACCCAAAGGAAGAGAUGGCUAACUCUGUGCCAGCAGCCGCGGUAAUACAGAGAUCUCGAGCGUUAAUCGGAGUCACUGGGCUUAAAGCGUACGUAGGCGGACUUGCAAGCAUCUUGUGAAAUCCCUCGGCUCAACCGAGGAACUGCUUGGUGAACUGCGAGUCUUGAGGCAAGUAGAGGCUGUCGGAACGAUAGGUGGAGCGGUGAAAUGCGUUGAUAUCUAUCGGAACGCCGAAGGUGAAAACAGGCAGCUGGGCUUGUUCUGACGCUGAGGUACGAAAGCGUGGGGAUCGAAACGGGAUUAGGUACCCCGGUAGUCCACGCCGUAAACGAUGUGCACUAGAUCCUGGA
rnacentral:rRNA from 1 species